rnacentral:rRNA from 1 species
AGCGAACGCUGGCGGCAGGCCUAACACAUGCAAGUCGAACGAAGCCUUCGGGCUUAGUGGCGGACGGGUGAGUAACACGUGGGAACGUACCUUUUGGUUCGGAACAACUCAGGGAAACUUAAGCUAAUACCGGAUGAGCCCUUAGGGGGAAAGAUUUAUCGCCGAAAGAGCGGGCCGCGUUAGAUUAGCUAGUUGGUGAGGUAAAGGCUUACAAAGGUUACGAUCUAUAGCUGGUCUGAGAGGAUGAUCAGCCACACUGGGACUGAGACACGGCCCAGACUCCUACGGGAGGCAGCAGUGGGGAAUCUUGCGCAAUGGGCGAAAGCCUGACGCAGCCAUGCCGCGUGAAUGAUGAAGGUCUUAGGAUUGUAAAAUUCUUUUACCAGGGACGAUAAUGACGGUACCUGGAGAAAAAGCCCCGGCUAACUUCGUGCCAGCCGCCGCGGUAAAAC